CCUACGGGAGGCAGCAGUGAGGAAUAUUGGUCAAUGGACGCAAGUCUGAACCAGCCAUGCCGCGUGCAGGAAGACGGCUCUAUGAGUUGUAAACUGCUUUUGUACGAGGGUAAACGCAGAUACGCGUAUCUGUCUGCAAGUAUCUUACGAAUAAGGAUCGGCUAACUCCGUUCCAGCAGCCGCGGUAAUACGGAGGAUUCAAGCGUUAUCCGGAUUUAUUGGGUUUAAGGGGUGCGUAGGAGGUCGGAUAAGUUAGAGGUGAAAUCGCGAGGCUAAACUUCGGAAUUGCCUCUGAUACUGGUCGGCUAGAGAGUAGUUGAGGUAGGCGGAAUGUAAGGUGUAGCGGUGAAAUGCGUAGAGAGCAUACAGAACACCGAUUGCGAAGGCAGCUUACCAAGCUACGUCUGACGUUGAGGCACGAAAGCGUGGGGAGCAAACAGGAUUAGAUACCCUUGUAGUC
rnacentral:rRNA from 1 species